rnacentral:tRNA from 1 species
UGGGAUAUUAGCUCAGUUGGUAGAGCACUUGACUUUUAAUCAAGUUGUCCGGGGUUCGAAUCCCCGAUGUCUCAG